rnacentral:rRNA from 1 species
GGGCUCCUACGGGACGCAGCAGUGGGGAAUAUUGCACAAUGGGGGAAACCCUGAUGCAGCGACGCCGCGUGAGCGAUGAAGUAUUUCGGUAUGUAAAGCUCUAUCAGCAGGGAAGAAAAUGACGGUACCUGACUAAGAAGCCCCGGCUAACUACGUGCCAGCCGCCGCGGCAAUACGUAGGGGGCAAGCGUUAUCCGGAUUUACUGGGUGUAAAGGGAGCGUAGACGGUCCUGCAAGCCAGAUGUGAAAGCCCGGGGCUCAACCCCGGGACUGCAUUUGGAACUGUAAGGCUAGAGUCUCGGCGA